CUGUUUAAAGAUAUGAGAGUCCACCUCUUGCAUCAGUGUGACCUGGAUGUGAGACGUAGAGUCAAAGGAGAUCAUUUUGGAACUUUAAAGUUUAAUGGCUGCCCUAUUGGAUUUUUGAAUUGCAUGGGGGCCUGUAGGGCUUUUGUUUUGGCCAAUUUAUUCCAUUUAGAAUGAGUGUAUUUACCCCAUGCUUGUACCUCAUUGUAUCUAGGAAGUAACUAACUUGCUUUUGAUUUUACAGGCUCACAGGCAGAAGGGACUUGCCUUAUCUCAGAUGGGACUUUGGACUUGGAUUUUUGCUGGAAUAAGUUAAGACUUUAGGGGGCUGAUUGUGUUUUGAAAUAUAAGAAUGUGAGAUUUGGGAGGGACCGGGGUGGAGUAAUAUGGUUUGGCUGUGCCCCUACCCAAAUCUCAUCUUGAAUUGUUCCCAUAAUCCCCACGUGUGGGAGAAACCUCAUGGGAGGUGAUUAGAUUAUGGGGGUGAUUCCCCCAUGCUGUUCUCGUGGUAGUGGGUGAGUUCUCUUGAGAUCUGAUGAUUUUAAAAGGCGCUUUUCCCCCUUCACUCUGCCCUUCUCUCUCCUGCUGCCAUGUGAAGAAGGACAUGUUUGCUUCUCCUUUUGCCAUGACUGUCAUUUUCAUGAGACCUCGCCAACCAUGCGGAACUGUGAGUCAAUUAAACUUCUUUCCUUUAUAAAUUACCCAGUCUCAGGCAGUUCUUUAUAGCAGCAUGAGAAUGGACUAAUACAAUUUCCCAUAGAAACUUUACUGCACAUGAUGUCUGGUUUGGUGGAACUCUACGCACAGUGCCUUCAGAGGACUUGGGGUGGAGAAUUUGACCUGAGGUGUUUGCAGCAACUUAGAAACUAUCUGGAAUGAAAGCACAAUGAGGACCUAAUGGCUCCUCUCCUGCUUCAGACCACUGCAUCUUCCAGUGACCUCCAAGUCCUUAAACCUGGCUGCCUCUCAAGACCCUGCCUUUCAGAUAUGUUUGCCUCUUUUUUGAUCAGCAACCCUGGAAACUCUCCACUUGCUGCUCCUCCACCCAGCCUUGCUCCUGCCGUCCUGCUGAUCUCCCAGCCCGGGACAGAAGAGGUUCUCCAGGGCUGUGUUCUUCAGCUCAGGUUUGCUGAUGCUGCAGCAAUGCAUGGGGCUCUUCAGACAGUGGCCAAGCAGGCACCUUGGGGGAGCAGCUACACUGACCCCACUGGCAAAUGAAAUGAUGACUUCACUUUAACCCUGAAGCUGUUAUACAGAGAAAGCUUGGAGCCUGACUAAAGCCAAAUAAACGUUGGCUUGAAUCACCACACAUUCUGUGCUGUUCGUGCAACCCUCAGCAAGUACAUGAUCCUUCUGAGCCCUAGAUGUUCAUGUAUAAACUAAUGAAACCUUGCCUGAGGAAGGCAUGUAGCCAGUUUCUCGCCUUGGGAUAAAAAAAUCUGUUCAUGAGUCCUAUUUGGAGAUCUGGCAUCUGUGCUAUUGGUAAGCAGCAAGUCAAAUUCUGUAAACAACGCCAUCCCUGAAUGACAAUUUCACUUUUACUCCACUUCCUCUAGUCUCUGCUCAUCUUAGUCUUAACAAGUGGCAUGUCAACUUACUAAAACAGCUGGAUAUGUGAUGAUUUUAGAAAAGUUUGCUUCCCCACCCAGAUAAAUAUCUACUUCAUG
rnacentral:lncRNA from 1 species